rnacentral:rRNA from 1 species
UACAGAGGGGGCAAGCGUUGUUCGGAAUUACUGGGCGUAAAGGGCGCGUAGGCGGCCCGCUAAGUCGAACGUGAAAUCCCCAGGCUUAACCUGGGAACUGCGUCCGAUACUGGUGGGCUUGAAUCCGGGAGAGGGAUGUGGAAUUCCGAGGUGUAGCGGUGAAAUGCGUAGAUAUCUGGAGGAACACCGGCGGCGAAGGCGGCAUCCUGGACCGGUAUUGGACGACUGAGG